GGAGCCUCCUGUCAACAGUGAACAUCAAGUUGUCAGUCAUAUGAGUGAAUCAUCUUGGUCAUGGAUCCUGUAAUCCCAAUCAGACCUUCAGAUGAUGCAGCCCUGGACAACAUCUUGAGUGCAACCUGAGAGAUCCUGAGCCAGAACCAUCAGCUAAGCUUUUCUUGAACCUCCUGACCCACAGAAAACUGUCAGAUUUUUCAGGGAUCCUCCGAGCUCAUUUACUAACUCUGUGGCUUCUUCGGUGUCCUGGUGAUCAACCUUGCCUGGGUUCUGAUGUAGACAGAAUGGAGUCUGAAUCCCGUCCCCCAUGGAGUAGCUGCGUGUCAGAGAAUGAGGCAGGAAAAGGAGAAUGGCUCUUGAUCAUUCCGGACAAUGCAUCACUAGAGAGGACACCAAAUUGAGGCUGCAUACAAACCUUCUGUGUGUGUGUGCGCACGCACGUGCGUGCUCAGUUGUUCCAGCUCUGUG
ensembl:lncRNA